rnacentral:rRNA from 1 species
AACUGGAGAGUUUGAUCCUGGCUCAGGAUAAACGCUGGCGGCGUGCCUUAUGCAUGCAAGUCGAACGGGUCACCUUCGGGUGGCUAGUGGCGAACGGGUGAGUAACGCGUAAGUGACCUGCCGAGAAGUGGGGAAUAACUGGUCGAAAGGUCAGCUAAUACCGCAUGAGCUCGCUAGUGUAAAGGCUAGCGAGGAAAGCCGAAAGGCGCUUUUCGAGGGGCUUGCGUCCGAUUAGCUAGUUGGUGGGGUAAUGGCUCACCAAGGCGAUGAUCGGUAGCUGGUCUGAGAGGAUGAUCAGCCACACUGGGACUGCGACACGGCCCAGACUCCUACGGGAGGCAGCAGCAAGGAAUUUUGGGCAAUGGGGGCAACCCUGACCCAGCAACGCCGCGUGGACGAUGAAGGCUUUCGGGUCGUAAAGUCCUUUUGUGGGGGACGAUAAUGACGGUACCCCACGAAUAAGCCCCGGCUAACUACGUGCCAGCAGCCGCGGUAAUACGUAGGGGGCGAGCGUUGUCCGGAUUUAUUGGGCGUAAAGCGCGCGUAGGCGGUGCGUUAAGUCCGUGGUGAAAUCUCCCGGCUCAACUGGGAGGGUGCCGUGGAAACUGGCGUGCUGGAGGACGGCAGAGGAAGGUGGAAUUCCCGGUGUAGUGGUGAAAUGCGUAGAGAUCGGGAGGAACACCAGUGGCGAAAGCGGCCUUCUGGGCCGGUCCUGACGCUGAGGCGCGAAAGCGUGGGGAGCGAACCGGAUUAGAUACCCGGGUAGUCCACGCCCUAAACGAUGGACACUAGGUGUGGGGGGUAUCGACCCCCUCCGCGCCGGAGCUAACGCAGUAAGUGUCCCGCCUGGGGAGUACGGCCGCAAGGCUAAAACUCAAAGGAAUUGACGGGGGCCCGCACAAGCAGCGGAGCGUGUGGUUUAAUUCGACGCAACGCGCAGAACCUUACCAGGGCUUGACAUGCUGGUGGUAGGAUUCCGAAAGGGAAACGACCCCGUGAGGGGAGCCAGCACAGAUGCUGCAUGGCUGUCGUCAGCUCGUGCCGUGAGGUGUUGGGUUAAGUCCCACAACGAGCGCAACCCUCAUCGCUAGUUGCACUCUUUAGCGAGACUGCCACUGUAAGGUGGAGGAAGGUGGGGAUGACGUCAAGUCAGCACGGCUCUUACGUCCUGGGCUACACACACGCUACAAUGGAUGGGAACAACGGGCUGCGAAGCCGCGAGGUGGAGCCAAUCCCAGCAAAGCCGUCCUCAGUUCAGAUUGCAGGCUGCAACCCGCCUGCAUGAAGUCGGAGUUGCUAGUAACCGCAGGUCAGCACACUGCGGUGAAUACGUUCCCGGGCCUUGUACACACCGCCCGUCACGUCAUGAAAGCUGGUAACACCUGAAGUCGCUGCGCUAACCCGCAAGGGAGGCAGGCGCCGAGGGUGGGACUGGUGAUUGGGACGAAGUCGUAACAAGGUAGCCGUAGCGGAAGCUGCGGCUGGAUCACCUCCUUUCUAG